rnacentral:rRNA from 1 species
GAUCAUGGCUCAGGAUGAACGCUAGCUACAGGCUUAACACAUGCAAGUCGAGGGGAAACGACAUCGAAAGCUUGCUUUUGAUGGGCGUCGACCGGCGCACGGGUGAGUAACGCGUAUCCAACCUGCCCACCACUUGGGGAUAACCUUGCGAAAGUAAGACUAAUACCCAAUGAUAUCUCUAGAAGACAUCUGAAAGAGAUUAAAGAUUUAUCGGUGAUGGAUGGGGAGUGCGU